GCUGUAGCUCAGUGGAAGAGCCUCUGCUUUGUGUGCAGAAGGUCCCAGGAUCAAUCCCUGGGAUACGCA
rnacentral:tRNA from 1 species